UAGUUGGUUGGUACGCGGACUUCUGUCCGUUGUACAGCGCGCGAGUAGCGUGGCUGGUUGGUACCCAGCGCGGGUAUAUAAGCGCGUGUCGCGCGCGCACUCGCUCUCUUCCAUUUCACUCGUUCAUGGAUUGCACUCUCCUAUUGCGCUGCUCACGUUGUGGGAUUUAGCUGUAAAUUGUGGCGCGAAGCGUAGCACAGUUCCCGCUCAGAGACUUGGAGUUGCUGAAGCGUGUGCAGUACAGCUGUGGUCAGUCUCUCACUCAGGAAGAGCACUGGUUUAGUUCCGGUUUCAAUCCAGUCUCUGUCAAAACCGAUAUGUGCGUAUGUUCAAGUACGCCGACUGGACUCCCCUACUGUGAUAUGGUAUCGCCC
rnacentral:misc_RNA from 1 species